rnacentral:rRNA from 1 species
GAUGAACGCUGGCGGCGUGCCUAAUACAUGCAAGUCGAGCGAACGGACGAGAAUCUUGCUUCUCUGAUGUUAGCGGCGGACGGGUGAGUAACACGUGGAUAACCUACAUAUAAGACUGGGAUAACUUCGGGAAACCGGAGCUAAUACCGGAUAAUAUUUUGAACCGCAUGGUUCAAAAGUGAAAGACGGUCUUGCUGUCACUUAUAGAUGGAUCCGCGCUGCAUUAGCUAGUUGGUAAGGUAACGGCUUACCAAGGCAACGAUGCAUAGCCGACCUGAGAGGGUGAUAGGCCACACUGGAACUGAGACACGGUCCAGACUCCUACGGGAGGCAGCAGUAGGGAAUCUUCCGCAAUGGGCGAAAGCCUGACGGAGCAACGCCGCGUGAGUGAUGAAGGUCUUCGGAUCGUAAAGCUCUGUUAUUAGGGAAGAACAUAUGUGUAAGUAACUGUGCACAUCUUGACGGUACCUAAUCAGAAAGCAACGGCUAACUACGUG